UUAUGGCCACAUCACGUUGAAACACCGGUUCCUGUGCGAUCACCGAAGUUGAGCAACGUCGAGCGUGGUCAGUACCUAGAUGGGUGACCGCUUCGGAAUAGCAGGUGCUAUAA